GAUGAACGCUAGCUACAGGCUUAACACAUGCAAGUCGAGGGGAAACGAUAGAGAAAGCUUGCUUUUUCUAGGCGUCGACCGGCGCACGGGUGAGUAACGCGUAUCCAACCUGCCCAUCACUUGGGGAUAACCUUGCGAAAGUAAGACUAAUACCCAAUGAUAUCUCUAGAAGACAUCUGAAGGAGAUUAAAGAAUUAUCGGUGAUGGAUGGGGAUGCGUCUGAUUAGCUUGUUGGCGGGGUAACGGCCCACCAAGGCGACGAUCAGUAGGGGGUCUGAGAGGAAGGGCCCCCACAUUGGAACUGAGACACGGUCCAAACUCCUACGAGAGGCAGCAGUGAGGAAUAUUGGUCAAUGGACGAGAGUCUGAACCAGCCAAGUAGCGUGCAGGAUGACGGCCCUAUGGGUUCUAAACUGCUUUUAUAAGGGAAUAAAGUGAGUCUCGUGAGACUUUUUGCAUGUACCUUAUGAAUAAGGACCGGCUAAUUCCGUGCCAGCCGCCGCGGUAA
rnacentral:rRNA from 1 species